rnacentral:misc_RNA from 1 species
AGCAAGUAGAGGCGGUGAGUCGGGGGAUGGAGAAGAAGCGCGACCAGGAGACAGGAGAAAUGGCAGCAGCGGCCACCCAGCAUCGCAGCCAACCACAACCACCACCAGCACCUCAUAACAGACCCCUCCCUCCUCCGAGCCGAGCCCUUCCUUCCAGUCAUCGUUCCGUUCCCGAACUAAUCGAUCGCGAAAAGACUUGCCCAUUAUUGCUUCGAGUUUUCACAAAGAUUGGAAGUCACCACAAGGUUGAAGACUUUGCAGUGAGAGGCAAAGAACCCAAAGAUGAGGUUCAAAUUUAUACAUGGAAAGAUGCAACGCUUCGUGAAUUAACUGAUCUUGUCAAAGAGGUCGCUCCAGAGGCAAGAAGACGAAAUGCAAGACUAUCAUUUGCUUUUGUAUAUCCUGAUAAACAUGGUCGUUUUGUGUUGAGAGUGGUGGGAUUGACUCAUUCAAGUGCAAGACGACCAGAUGAUGCCAUGGCAUUGGGUGAACUCAGCUUCCAGAUUGGAGAUUACUUGGAUGUGGCUAUUCUUUAAGAGGGGAAGCUCGGUGGUGACUGGAGUGUCAAUUUUGGUGCAUGGACAGUGGUCUGUGCUUCAUUAAUUUUGGAGAGGCCUGCC